rnacentral:lncRNA from 1 species
UAGUCUAAGAAGGGGCGGCACAGGAAACAACAGCCAUCGCCUUGCGCUGCCUCGACAACGAUCCCAACAAUCGACCGGCCAUGACGAAGGCCUUGGCCGCCCUCGACGACGUCCAGACGUCUACAGCUGCUCCCAGAAUCUCACAUCGAGCUGUGAAUCACAAGCUGAGUCCUCAUAGACAAUGAGGCAGUCGAGGUUAGAGUAGUAGAUGUAUUUAUGUUGAUGUAUUUGGAAAUAUGUUGGGAGAUGCAACUUUUGAGUGUGCUACAUAUUUUGAGUGGCUUCAUUAACAAUGAUUUAAUGUAAUGUUGGAUGAACGAUGUUUGAAUGAAUGUAUGAAUUUUUAGUAUUAACGAAUGUAUUUUUUGCUUUCUAUUAUGAGUUUUUGGAUCUUAUGAAAUAUAUAUUAAAAAAAUAGAAAAUAUAAAUAUAAGUGCCAAAAAAAUUGUAAUAUUUGAAAUAAAAAGCGAAUAGACGACGGUCACUAU